rfam:Colletotrichum incanum strain MAFF 238704 contig2994, whole genome shotgun sequence.
CCGUCUUUUGCCAUUGCUCGGUCAGUUUAGCCUCUUUGACUUCUGAUCUUGAGCCGGAUACGCCGCGCCUCGUGUGCGGUUGUAUAAGACAAGAUCAACAUCCAGACAAUGCUUUUUGAGUGCGUAACCUUUAUUGUUGAAGUGAAGGCUUGCGUAAUUUAUCUGUUGUCACAUCU